GUUUACGUGUCUGUUUAAAUCUUUGAGGAACGGGUCUCCAAAUAAUUUACCCUGUGCCAGCGGACCUAGUUCUUUGGUGCCCAAUUCCACCAAUUUUCCGUCAAUACGGAGUAGUGCUGCUUUGCGCCGCUCGGAUGAGAGGGCGACGUUUGUGUUACCCACAAAGCAAAAGCAUCUUUGUGCCCACUCCCGCACAUCAUGAGCCCAUUCACGCACCAUGGUUGCAUCAAAUUGGUCUGCUCUGGCAAGGGCGUCAUCAG